rnacentral:rRNA from 1 species
GGAUUCGNAUGGGCGAAGCCUGACGCAGCGACCCCGCGUGGAGGAUGAAGGUCUUCGGAUUNNNAACUCCUUUUGUCGGGGAAGAUAAUGACGGUACCCGAUGAAUAAGCCACGGCUAANUCNGUGCCAGCAGCCGCGGUAAGACAGAGGUGGCAAGCGUUGUUCGGAAUUACUGGGCUUAAAGGGCGCGUAGGCGGUGGUAUAAGUCUGGGGUGGAAGAUUAGGGCUUAACCCUAAAAUUGCCUUGGAAACUGUAUCACUUGAGUCAGCGAGGGGAUGGCGGAAUUCCAGGUGUAGCGGUGAAAUGCGUAGAUAUCUGGAGGAAGGCCGGUGGCGAAGGCGGCCAUCUGGCGCUGAACUGACGCUGAGGCGCGAAAGCGUGGGGAGCAAACAGGAUUAGAUACCCUGGUAGUCCACGCCCUAAACGGUGGGUACUAGGUGUAGGGCUCGCAAGGGUUCUGUGCCGAAGGGAAACCAUUAAGUACCCCGCCUGGGGAGUACGGCCGCAAGGUUGAAACUCAAAAAAAUUGACGGA